ACCGCUGCAAUAAAGGUUUAAAAACAUUGUAGUUUUUAAAUAUCGAUGUUAUUCAAUCUCAAAAUUAAUGUUUUAAAUUAAACGUAAACAUCGAACAAAUUUAAAAAAAAAUAUCAAAUAUUUAUUAAAGAUUCAUAGAAAGUCUUAAAGUUCAUAGCAAGUUCAGUGUUUCAAUUGAUAAAAAGUCACUUAUAAACUACUGUAGGUAGUUUUGUACGAGUACCUGCGUUCAAAUAUUAGUUGCUAAACAAAUCUACAAAUGAUAAAAAUUACACUAGUUAACAGCCAAAAUACUUAAAAAGCAUCCACCAUGGAUGGUAAUCCAAUAACAUUUUAAAAGAACACCACAACGCCAGGCGCACAACCGAAACCUACUAUCAUAACUACAGAUUUUUGCCAGCUGCUGAAAAAAAAGAACCAGAUUUCCACCAACGGUUCGCAUCUUAUCGACUAAAAAAUUAAAAACAAUGAAAUAUAAGAAAUUAAAGAGCAUUUAUUUUUCAUACUAUAGCUUUGGUGCCUUUCGUUUCCAAAGGUUUCCAAA